rnacentral:ncRNA from 1 species
UACAUGCGAGAAGCGCAGACCUCGCGGGAGGCGUGCAUUUAUCUGACCAAAAACCGGCCGCGUCUUCGGGCGCGUUCGCCUUGGUGACUCUGGAUAACUUUGCGGAUCGCACGGUCUAGCACCGGCGACGGAUCAUUCAAGUGUCUGCCCUAUCAACUUUCGUCGGUACGGUAUUUGCCUACCGAGGUUCUUACGGGUGACGGGGAAUCAGGGUUCGAUUCCGGAGAGGGAGCCUGAGAAACGGCUACCACAUCCAAGGAAGGCAGCAGGCGCGCAAAUUACCCAUUCCCGACGCGGGGAGGUAGUGACGAAAAAUAACAAUGCAGGACUCGUUCGAGGCCCUGUAAUUGGAAUGAGUACACUUUAAAAGCUUUAACGAGUAUCCAUUGGAGGGCAAGUCUGGUGCCAGCAGCCGCGGUAAUUCCAGCUCCAAAAGUAUAUAUUUAAGUUGUUGCGGUUAAAAAGCUCGUAGUUGGAUUUUGGGCGCAGGCGGCCGGUCCGUCGCAAGGCGUGUACUGGACGUCCUGGCCUUCCCUCCGGUUCUCCGCCGGUGCUCUUGACUGAGUGUCGGCGGCGGCCGGAACGUUUACUUUGAAAAAAUUAGAGUGUUCAAAGCAGGCUCUCGAGCCUGGAUAAUGGUGCAUGGAAUAAUGGAAUAGGA